rnacentral:rRNA from 1 species
UACAGAGGGUGCAAGCGUUAAUCGGAGUUACUGGGCGUAAAGGGCGCGUAGGCGGUUAGAUAAGUGAGAUGUGAAAGCCCUGGGCUUAACCUAGGAACUGCAUCUUAUACUGUUUGACUGGAGUACUGUAGAGGGUAGUGGAAUUUCCGGUGUAGCGGUGAAAUGCGUAGAGAUCGGAAGGAACACCAGUGGCGAAGGCGGCUACCUGGACAGAUACUGACGCUGAGGCGCGAGAGCGUGGGGAGCAAACAGG